UACGUAGGGGGCAAGCGUUGUCCGGAUUUAUUGGGCGUAAAGAGCGUGUAGGCGGCCAGGUAGGUCCGCUGUGAAAACUCGAGGCUCAACCUCGAGAUGUCGGCGGAAACCAUCUGGCUAGAGUCCGGAAGAGGAGAGUGGAAUUCCUGGUGUAGCGGUGAAAUGCGCAGAUAUCAGGAAGAACACCCGUGGCGAAGGCGGCUCUCGUGGGACGGUACUGACGCUGAGACGCGAAAGCGUGGGGAGCGAACAGG
rnacentral:rRNA from 1 species